AUAGAGCUACUCAGGUCCUAGCAAUUGCACUACUAGGUAAGCCUGGAUUUGAUGGAGAAGCCUCAAGCAAGGAAGAUGGAGAGCCAAAAUGAAUGAGAUUAUACUCCCUUCAGUGUCUGGAUGUUGUGAAUGAUUAGCCUGAAUAAAGAAAUAUUGAAUUGUU